AACACCUUUAACGCUCAUCCUGUGAGGUGAGCAAGGAGUUUGUUAUGACAAGUGCGCCGGCUUGUGCCGGGUUUUGUAAUGCAACCUUCUCACCAAGAUACGGUGGGGAGGUUUUUUUAU
rfam:Nitrospira sp. SG-bin2 contig1666, whole genome shotgun sequence.